AGUGAACGCUGGCGGUAGGCCUAACACAUGCAAGUCGAACGGCAGCACAGUAAGAGCUUGCUCUUACGGGUGGCGAGUGGCGGACGGGUGAGGAAUACAUCGGCAUCUACUUUUUCGUGGGGGAUAACGUAGGGAAACUUACGCUAAUACCGCUUACGACCUACGGGUGAAAGCAGGGGAUCUUCGGACCUUGUGCGAUUGAAUGAGCCGAUGUCGGAUUAGCUAGUUGGCGGGGGAAAGGCCCACCAAGGCGACGAUCCGUAGCUGGUCUGAGAGGAUGAUCAGCCACACUGGAACUGAGACACGGUCCAGACUCCUACGGGAGGCAGCAGUGGGGAAUGUUGGACAAUGGGCGCAAGCCUGAUCCAGCCAUACCGCGUGGGUGAAGAAGGCCUUCGGGUUGUAAAGCCCUUUUGUUGGGAAAGAAAAGCAGCAGGUUAAUACCCCGCUGUUCUGACGGUACCCAAAGAAUAAGCACCGGCUAACUUCGUG
rnacentral:rRNA from 1 species